AUUGAACGCUGGCGGAAUGCUUUACACAUGCAAGUCGAACGGCAGCACGGGGGCAACCCUGGUGGCGAGUGGCGAACGGGUGAGUAAUACAUCGGAACGUGCCCGGUCGUGGGGGAUAACGUAUCGAAAGUUACGCUAAUACCGCAUACGAUCUGAGGAUGAAAGCGGGGGACCUUCGGGCCUCGCGCGAGCGGAGGGGCCGAUGCCCGGUUAGUUAGUUGGUGGGGUAAAGGCCUACCAAGCCGGCGAUCUGUAGCUGGUCUGAGAGGGCGACCAGCCACCCUGGAGCUGAGACACGGCCCAGACUCCUACGGGAGGCAGCAGUGGGGAAUUUUGGACAAUGGGCGCAAGCCUGAUCCAGCCAUUCCGCGUGCAGGACGAAGGCCUUCGGGUUGUAAACUGCUUUUGUAUGGAACGAAAAGGCUCUGGCUAAUACCUGGGGCUCAUGACGGUACCGUAAGAAUAAGCACCGGCUAACUACGUG
rnacentral:rRNA from 1 species